rnacentral:tRNA from 1 species
GCUUUCAUGGUCCAGUGGUAGAAUUCUUGUCUUUCAUGUAGGGGACCCGGGUUCGAUUCCCGGCCAAUGUA